CGCACAUUGCGCCCCUUGGUAUUCCGAGGGGCAUGCCUGUUCGAGCGUCAUUAUGACCACUCAAGCCUAGCUUGGUAUUGGGGUUUCGCGUGCUCGCAGCCCUUAAAAUCAGUGGCGGUGCCGUCUGGCUCUAAGCGUAGUAAUACUCUCGCUAUUGAGUCCGGGUGGUUACUUGCCAAAAUCCCCCACUUUAUUAGGUUGACCUCGGAUCAGGUAGGGAUACCCGCUGAACUUAA
rnacentral:misc_RNA from 1 species